AGCCCUGGCUGGGAUGAUUUAGUUGGGAUUUGGUCCUGCUUUGAGCAGGGGGUUGGACUAGAUGACCUCCUGAGGUCCCUUCCAACCCUGAUAGUGUAUGAUUCUAUGAACAGUACCUCAGCUUUCUGCCUCCCCUUUAACUGGCUGUGAGUAAGCAGUCAGUGCUUUGAAUUCUUCAUCUGUACUCGCUGCAAUAUUCUUCACAGGCAGUGUGCUUCCUCUCUGGGUACGGCUCUGUGGUAUUAACGCUGGGGAGGGGCCAGGGCUGUUUUUUGGUGGUAAUGCUAAAGGUCUAAUGGGAAGAGGAUUGAGGGCGGAGCCCUGCCGUGUGGGAGAGGUGAAAAGAAGAGCCUACGAGCCGUUGCCAACUGAGAUGGUAACUUGUUUGUUUUUUCCCAUUGUCCUGGGUCUAGUACCAAGGGAAAAGAAGUCACGCGUCAGAGUCUACUGCCCUCAUGCGAUGGAAAGCGAGCGAGAGCGAUGGGACCACGAGAAUUAUUGAUGCCACGGAAAAGCUGUCCAGUUGGGAGCGGAGCAGCCACCACUGUCAGUGAGAUAAGUUUCUGGUUUGGUGAGGGUUCUGCUCAAGGCCCACCUUGCUCCUGGGGCUGCUCAGUUCUGUGGCCAGGACCAGUGUAUCCUAUGCAGCAGAAGGUCUGUUCCAGGAGGAUGACUCCAGGGGAGGAAUUGUCCAGGAGCAGCAGCUGAUGGAGAAACUGGCAGAAGUGGACCUGAUCAGCCUGGACAUCCUUCUAAGGAGACAUGAAAGUCCUCAGCUUUUUGCCUCUCACAUAAUUGGCUACAGGUUUACAUUUUUAUCUAGGAAGAUGACUGAAGCUGGUCGCUGCAGAGCUACAUUUACUGUCUGUUUACCUUGCACAACAUAAUUGCUUUGUUACUAUUAGGCCCAUCCCUGGAGAUGGUUACAUGUGGAAGUGCUGUUACUCACAUGUAGGAUCAGACCCAUAGCUGGAAAAAUUAAGUUCCUAUUGAUUUUGGGUAGAUGAGAGAAUGACCAACCUGUGGCAGAGACCAAAAGGAGCAGCCACCCUGAGACCAUCCAGGGAGAUGGAAACCAGACAGUGAUCUGUGGAGUCAGAGUAAAUAGAAAUUUGCAUAAGUUACGUAUUGAGGGAGGACUGCAAGAACUCUUGUCAGCAUGGGGUGGGUCUCUGAGAAAAGGCCUUUGCAAGGACUUGUCUGGUGCUAUGGAGUCUUCCUGAAGCACGGUAACUAUGUGGAGGGCAACUUGCCUGUAACCAGAGAUGCUCAGUCCUCAACUCUCUUCCUUCUACAUCACUGAGUGAGCUUUCCUGGUCAUGCCACUCUAGUCCUCCUCCCUACCGACUCUGGCUUGCUUCAGAGGAUGUGAGCGGGGUGACCGAGAGUAGCCCUUGGUCCGUGUUUCUGCUCACAAGGGUGUACCACCCAGGGCAGGUGUAGGGUCCAAGGCUCAGCACAGCAUCCCGGACUGAUGUGCUCUGGCCUGGGUUCCUGAGUCCUGCUCCCCGAGGGCUGUGCUGGCCCCGUAGCUGGACCCCGCACCAGGGAGGCUCUUAUGGGCGGUGAGCAGUUAAAGGGCAGUAGGGAGCUGAGGAGCAGCCACAGCCCGGGGGUCCCAAGCAGCAGGAGGACAAGAUGGGGAAGCUCUGCGGCUGCCUGCACUCUGACAUCAGCUAGUGCAGCAACUGCUUCACCCUGGCCGACUCUGGCUUCUGGCCUCUGGCAUGGCCAUGGGCCAUGGCCUUGGAGGAGAGGAGGCAGGGCUGGCACUUCACUGAGGAGGAGCAGGGGGUGGAGCCACAGGAGGGGCAGGGCCUCAUGGCAAGGAGGGUUGCAGCUGCCACCAUUUUCUGUCUUACCCUCCGCCACCAGAAGAGGCUGGCGCUGCCCACUGCUGACCAAGGGGUGUUACUGUUUUUUCUGAGAAACACUCUGUGCAUUACUUUUAGUUGCCACUGGGUGUCACCGCUGCUCCAUGGAAGGGACAGUUCAUGCAGUUCUGACUAGCCGGCGGUGUCACUGCUGCUCCUGAAUAAACAGUCUGUGCAUUACUCUGAGUGUCCACUGGGUGUCACUGCUGCUCCAGGGUAGAUGCAGUCUGUGCAUUAUCCUGACUGCCCACCUACCGGGUGUCACUGCUGCUCUGGGAACUUCACCAGUGCAUUACACUGACUGGCUUCUAAGAUAAAUGUGUGGUAAAGACUGAGUACAGACUCCUGCUUCCCUCUAACUGCAGUUUGGUUUCUAAUAAAAGGUUUCCUGCUCAUUCUGGGUGCAGGGAGAGAAUUUCCCCAUCUUGGGAGUUUCUGAUCUCCUGUCUGCAUGUCUGCAUGUCCUCCUGAGCAAAGGUCUGGAACCAGGAAGGUGACUACAGGUGUUGAGUUUGUUCUUCCUUCAUUACAUCUCUCUAAGGUGUUGGCCAACAUGCUCUCUCUUCUUGCCUGUUGGUCUACAGCCUCCCUUCAUAGACAUGUUCACCUACAUGUGUCCAGUGGUGAUUGAGACAUAGACAUCUAUAGUUCUCUGUACAGAUUUUGUGUGUGUG